CUUUGGAAACUGCCUGGCAACAGGCUGUGAUUGGUUGGGGCAUAGACCGCCCCUUGACCGGAUUGGCUGGUCUUGGCUAUGUAAGAUAUUGUACCAACUGAAAUAAAUGAGUUUGCGGGCUGCUUGCCUCAAGCCUGCUUUCACCGGACUCCCGGGGUCUGUGUGGUGACUCUGUGCCUCUUGCCCCCACCACGCUCAUUCUCUCAGAAAUGAAUCUACUGCAACAUUGUUGAGAAAUCAACUGCAACAGUGAAGUAUGAAGAACUCUGCUUUGGUGACCUCAUUACAUGGCUAGCUGCUUCUCAGCAGGCAGAAAGAAACACUGGGAGCUGCAAAACACCAGUGUUGACCUGUGUGUUGUGCUCGGCAUGUGAGAGCCAGGGUGACAUAACUCACCAUGUGGGACCUGUUACCAGCCUUGUUCUGGGCUGCUUGCCAAGGUUUAAAAUCUACUUGGUUAGAAUACAUGCUUUGAUUUAUCUACAAAUUGAUCAAAUGUACACAUAUUUUAAGCAACAUGAUUAUUAUACGUAUAUUUUUUGAGAUAUUGCUAUCAACACUAUAAAAGAUAUGAGUGAUAUCGCCUUUCUAUUUACAGAAAAUGGUUCCCAUUACAGAUAUCCUUUAAGAAAACACUGUAUAUAUUCCUCCUCUCUGGAAAAAGGCAUGGGAUUCAAUAUGGAUAUAACUGUGUUGCAAAGUAUAAUUUUACAGAGAUACAACAAAAACAAAAGCAAGAAGAGGAUCAUGUAUUGGACAUGCACAAGGCAAGUUUUCUUGUAUUCUUAUGUUAGGAAAAAUGAGCCUGUGUCAAAAUAUGUUCAUUUUUAUAUUAGAAUUUCAAGAGAAGGUGGUUUUAAUUAUAUGAGGGAGAUUAGAAUGUUUCAUUUGAGACGGAAUCAUGAAAGAGGAAAGUCUUUGUUCCACUUGUGUACAUAUCUACCCUGGAAGACGUCUCCAUGGACUACCUCUUAUUUGUUAAAGUCUUCAGCUAUGUUACCUUCAUAUUGACGUAUGACUUACGGCGAAUGAUGCUCUCCUUUAAGAAAAGCAAUGUUCAAAACAUUUUCCAAAAAACACAUUAGUCAUUGCAAAUAAAGUACAGAGAGUUGUCAGUAUGACUUGAAAGCAUCAAAGACUAUGUGUUACAGGAGGGAAUUUAAUUACUAGGCCCCAACAAAAGACAAGGAGCUGAUACUUGAUAGUGAAAAUUUAAAGUAAUUUUCCUCAUUUAACUAGAGUCGCAACAUGACAUGUUAAUCAAAAAUAAUCUAGGUAGGCCUAUAAACUGAAAUUCUAAAAAUCUUUGUUGUUUGUAAUACACUCUAGAACAAAUGUAGUAAUAUAAUAAUCUUAGUUUGCUUCCCAGCUCUUGAACAGCUAUACUUCAUUUUAAAAAUAUAAUUUGUAAGAUAUUCAGUGACAUUUAUUUAAAGUAUAAAGCUUCUUUUUUAAUAUUUUCUACUUUUGGAACUUUUUUUUUCAUAAAAUGAGAAAUGCAAACUGCAACUUGAAUAGAAUCUGAUCAUUAGCUGAUUUUGCUGAAAAUCAAUUACCAAAACAAUAGUUUUUGUAAUUAUAUUUUGUUUCCAUAAUGAUGGUUAUUAAACUGACUCACCCAGAAUGAAAACCUGGCAAAAUAAUUCAAGAUGACCUCACUCUGACAGCAGUAGCUCCAGCAACAGGGUUAUUUCAUGACAACAGGGUGCACUUUUCACUGUGUGUCCUUUAAGGAUAGCACAGGGCAAGGAGCCUGGAAAAUUAGGGUAAUCAAGGAUUUGAAACUUUUGUAUUUUUCCUAGUGUGAAACAAUGCAAACAAUUAAAGCUGCAUUUAAAUCAAAAGUAUAAAAUCAUCCCAUAGAAAAUAGGUCUUGUUAAUAUUAUUUUAAAUAUAAAAUAGGAAGAUAUUCAUUUGCAGUAGCUUUGUUACAGUGAAGUGUAUGUUUGUGAUGACUUGUAUGCACUUCUGCCCAUUGUAUAAUUUCCUGUGCAGUUGCAUUCUGUUCCCGCAAGUUAGACAGGUGGAUAGCAGAGGGCACCAUGUAAAUGUAUAAUAACAAAAAAGCUUUGUAAAAUCAGUUCACUUCAACAGUACUAAAACCAUAAGAGAUUGCCCUGAUGGAAUUCAUUUUCCAGUCUUCCCUACCAUUAAAGUGUACUAAAUUAUCCCAUUGGGGUAUGAAAGAAUCUUUAUCCCUUCCUAACAAGCUCAUAGCAUCUGCUUUUGAUCACAAGAUUUUCUUCUUAAAAAAGUCUUUCUUCAGGCCCUUAUCCUAUUUUCCCAAAUAUCAACUUAUUUCUUUCUUACACCUCCAGUUCAGUGUUAACCCUACUUUAAAGUCAUUUUAAUCCAUGAAAUCUUUUACCCAAGUUAAAAACACAUGCUGCCUGCUCUGAAAACGAGUUACUUUUUUCACAUUUGCAGCCUUACUAACUUUUAAUCUUUUAUGAAAGUUAUGUGUAUAUAUGUCUAUUUUUCAAUAAGAAAUAUAAGGUAAGGAUGGAGAUCUUAUCUGCAAUAUCAUGAUAGUAGAUAGACUUGAUUCUUGUGUAACAUUCAGUGUUGAUUUAACCGUUUGGAGUAUUCAUACUAUAAAGGUAUAACAAACACUUGAUGGCAUUACUGAUUCUUCACUACCACUGACAUAUCUGUAUGCGAAACCUGGACAGGGAGGGCAAUCCAAGUAACUGGCUAGGUAAAUUUUCCAGACCUCAAACCAACUUGCAUGGUAAACAAGGAGAGUGAACCUUCUCAACUUCUCAAUUCUUUUUAAAUUUUAGGUACCAAUGCCAAUGAAUAAACAGGGAAGUCUCUCUCUAGAAAUAGAUAAUCAUAUCCACAACUUAAAUAGUGAUUUACAAGCAAUGCUAGAUUCUCAAAUUACAGUAGCUCUAAUAUAAACAUUCAAGGUAACUUCUUAACUUUUUACGACUCCACCAAAUUGUUUUUAUCCUUAUAGUUUCCUUAAAUGUUCCCUAGAGCUUUCUUGAAGAAGUAAGUGAAAAGUCAUUCCAGCCAUAUAUUCUGGUCACUUCAUCUGCCUUUAUUAUCAUAGUGUUAGGAGGAGGGUAAUGAGCAGAGCACAAUAACAAAUUCAAAAUUUACUUGCAUCUUAGCUCUAGUAUUUAAUAAUUAACAUCUCUACACUUACUGAGUUACCUCAUUUCUUUGACCAAAAGAAUACAAAUAAUCCCAUGAUUAUCUCUACAUAUUUUCUGUCCCUUUUUUUACAAGCUCAGAGACACAAAUAUACUCAAUUUUCAAUAUUUCUGAUUAAAUAUAUUUAUUUUAAUUGAUUUAUUUUCUUCCCCAUAAAGUGGAUGCUUGUUUCUGAACACUGAACCAUCUGGAUGAUAAGUAACUGAUGCCUAUGAUGUUCGUGGUAAUAGUUCUGUGGGCAGACAUUCUGCAGAGCAGUCAAGAUGCUGCCUGAGAUGCCCACAUCCCAUAUCCCAGUGUCUGAGUUCAAGUUCUGGCUCCACUGCCAUCCAGCUUCCUCUAUUGUACGCCCUAUGAGGCAGUGGUGAUAGCCCAAGUUCCCGAGCCUCUGCCACUCCUGGGGGAGACCCACAUGGAUUCUUUUACUCCCAGCUUUGGCCUAGUCAGCUCUAGCUGUUGUGGGCUCUUGGGGUGUGAAGGAACAGAUGGAAGCUUUCUACCUGCCUGUCUCUGUCUCUCUAUACUCCUCUACAUUCAAAUAAAGAGGGAAAAAUGUUUGUGGAAAAUAGAAAUAAAAGAUGAGUAUAUUAAAAAAGUUAAUUGCUAUGAAUAUUUAUAAAUAUUUAUAUGUUUAUAUUUGUACAUCUUACCAAAUUAAUGAGAGACUGAAUAUAUAGACAAAAAUACCUAGAUUCUAUAUAAAAAUUUGCACAAUUUGCAGUAACAUAUCUAAGACAUCAAACCACAGAUUCUAUAGCAAUCAGCAAAAAACAAACCCUAUUUAAUCAAUGACAGAGAUACCCUAAUCUUUUCCCCCACUUCCAACAUAAGACCAACAGAAAAAAGCCAAAUAUUCUCCCUUAAUAAAUAAAAAUUAGGCUUUCAUUCUUCUAAGUAUAACUAUGUAAACACAUCAGUCUUCACCCUGAAUUGUACUUUUAUUUGCUAGACUUUUUGUAAAAUUUUAUGUAUUGCAUACAUUAGAUAUUUUAUCAUUUUAUGACUUUUGAUUUCUUACUAGGAUCUA